rnacentral:rRNA from 1 species
UACGGGGCGCAGCAGGCGCGAAAACUUUACAAUGCGGGAAACCGUGAUAAGGGAACUCUGAGUGCCCGUUAAAUCGGGCUGUCCACCAGUUUAAAAAACUGGUGAAGAAAGGGCCGGGCAAGACCGGUGCCAGCCGCCGCGGUAAUACCGGCGGCUCGAGUGGUGGCCACUAUUACUGGGCUUAAAGCGUUCGUAGCUGGUUUGUUAAGUCUCUGGGGAAAUCUUCCGGCUCAACCGGAAGGCGUCUCAGGGAU